rnacentral:rRNA from 1 species
UACGUAGGCAGCGAGCGUUGUUCGGAGUUACUGGGCGUAAAGCGUGCGUAGGCGGUGGUCCAAGUCUGGUGUGAAAUCUCCCGGCUCAACUGGGAGGGUGCGCCGGAAACUGGGCCGCUGGAGUACGGGAGAGGCAAGCGGAAUUCCAGGUGUAGCGGUGAAAUGCGUAGAUAUCGGGAGGAACACCAGUGGCGAAGGCGACUACCUGGCCUGUUCUUGACGCUGAGGCGCGAAAGCUAGGGGAGCAAACGGG